rnacentral:rRNA from 1 species
UACGUAGGGUGCGAGCGUUGUCCGGAAUUACUGGGUGUAAAGGGUGCGUAGGCGGGCAUGUGCGUCGGAGGUUAAAUACAACGGCUUAACCGUUGAACUGCCUUCGAAACGGCAUGUCUUGAAUGUGGGAGAGGAUGAUGGAAUUCCUGGUGUAGAGGUGAAAUUCGUAGAUAUUCGGAAGAACACCAGUGGCGAAGGCGGCUUACUGGCCCAUUACUGACGCUGAGGCUCGAAAGCGUGGGGAGCAAACAGG